GAAAUGCGAUAAGUAAUGUGAAUUGCAAAAUUCCGUGAAUCAUUAAAUCUUUGAACGCACCUUGCGCUCUUUGGCAAUCCAGAGAGCAUGUCUGUUUGAGAAUCAGUUUAAAUCUCACUCUUUUAGUUGGAAACAUCUAAAAGAGUGGUUGUGGGCUUUUCACUAACCCUGAAAUUCCUUAAAUUCAAGUUGCCUGGUGUACCGUUGAAACGUAACCGGAAAGCAUGACCAAAGGACUCUUGUUCUUGAUUGCUGAUAAAGGCCGUGUAGACUGUGCUCUUGAGCAAGAAUUAUUUAUACACGAAAGUAGUAAUACUUUUAAGACUUGAUCUCAAAUCAGAUAAGACUACCCGCUGAACUUAA
rnacentral:misc_RNA from 1 species